UACGUAGGUGGCAAGCGUUGUCCGGAUUUACUGGGUGUAAAGGGCGUGUAGGCGGAGCUGCAAGUCAGAUGUGAAAUCCCGGGGCUCAACCCCGGAACUGCAUUUGAAACUGUAGCCCUUGAGUAUCGGAGAAGCAGGCGGAAUUCCUAGUGUAGCGGUGAAAUGCGUAGAUAUUAGGAGGAACACCAGUGGCGAAGGCGGCCUGCUGGACGACAACUGACGCUGAGGCGCGAAAGCGUGGGGAGCAAACAGG
rnacentral:rRNA from 1 species